rnacentral:lncRNA from 1 species
AUUGUCUGUCACCCAGUAGCACAUGGGCACUUGAGGGACAGAGAGCUUUGCCCUAUUUUGUUGCUGGCUGAAUCCCCAGGCCCUGGGACAGGGCUGGCACACAGCAGGGGUUCAGUGACCAGAUGGGCAGGGCAAACACAUGUGCAUUGACUCCAGGGUACCUCUGGCUAGAAAGGAGGCAAAUAUGUCACUUGGAGACAAACUGUCAUUUAUGGCAGAAGAGUCCACAGUAGCUUGGAUAGGAGUGUGGGGCAAAAGUUAGGCAGCCCAGACAUUGCACGCCAGCCUUGGCCCCUGGCCCGCUGCCCGCCAGCUCAGACAUGCUCCCUGGAGGAGGAGGGGGACAGCCCUUUGUAAACUCAUAAAGGGCAGCUAGCUAUGGCCACAGUUGCUCUAGGAGGCAGCAUGAGGCCCAUAAACCCCACCUCUGACAGCUUUACAGGGCUUGGUGUGAGUAUGCCAGAGAUGCCAUGCAUAGUGCCAUCAGAGUUCCCAAGUACCAACCAGCAAGGGUGGAAGAGCUCUUACACACAAAUCUGCCAGGCUGUCAUUUUCCGAGGUGGCCAUCAGGUCACCCGGCUUCCCAGCAUCUGGGUUCCCUGACUCCCUGUGCUGCUGCCUCUUCUCUAAGAGUGCUGGAUUCAUGGGCAGGGGGUGGGGGGCAGCCUUCCAGGCCAGGAGGGGCUCCCUAAUUCCUCCCCAGCUUGGUGUGCAGUCCUUGGAGCCUUAAUAUAAUUAUGAUAACUGGCACUUAUCAUGUGCCAGUCAUCAUAAAAAACACGUUACAUAGCUGUCCAUUUUAUAAAUGAGGAAACUGAGGCUCAGAGGGGUAACUUGCCCAGGAUUAUACAGCGAGCAGCUAGCAGGUGUCAGAGCUGACUGUUGCUCAAAAUACCAUGCUCUUAGCCACAUGCCCCAUUUGAGUCUCAGCUUCCAACUCUGACCCCUGCUUGGUGGUUGUCCAAGGACCACUGAGAGGCCCCAUGACAGAUGAUGGACAGAAUGGGAGCAGGACCCAGGAGCCUGGGCCCAGGCAGGAAGAAGCCAAGGGUCAAUGGCUCCACCUGCUGGUGCUGUGUACAACCCACAGCCAGCCAAGCCCAGGAAGCUCCUGACAGUUUUGACCUGGGCACACUUGGCCAGUAUGCCUUGGACAAAAGGUUCGGGGGCACAGGCCAGGAUUUCUCUGAGGGUCGCUUCCAGAUCCCUUCCCAGGAAACACCGGUGCUGGCUCGCCUGCUCAAGAACUGCUCCCUAAGACUGUCCAUCUUCCCUCCUGGUCAGAAAACACGUUGUUAUCCAAACACACCCCUCGCUUCCCCACCUCUAGAUCUCUACUCAUGCUGUUCCCUGUGCCUGGCAUAUCAUCUACUCUCCUUGUGCGCCAAAAUCCUACUCAUGCUUUAGAGCCCAACUCAGAUGUCACUUCCUCCCUGGUGCCUUCACUAUGUGGAAUGUAUCCACUGUCAUUGAAUUUCAUUUAUUCAUUUGCUCAUCAUAGAGACCCCUGGGCCAGGCUGUGACCAUUUCCCCUUCACAUGCCUCUGGUUUGUCUCCUGUUUCAGUCCUGCCUUGUGGUUUUCACACAGCUGAUGCUCAAUAAAUGCGUGCUGAGCAAACUCACAAGGCUGGGGUGUUCAGGUCUGAUCAUGUGCGUGUGCGCAGGUGGCUGCACUUACAGAGAGACGCCUGAAGAGGGCAGCACACUGGGGCGCUAACUUGGAGAGUGAGGCCGCGUGAUUUGUUAGAGGAGGAAGCCGGAGGGCGGAGGGAGGGCCAGCCCCUCCCCCUCAACUCGGGCUCCAGACGUAGUUUGAGUCCCCUGUGCCCCCACUUUGCUGGGUGACCUUGGGCUUUGGGGUUGGUUCCAGGAGCCACUCAGCCAGGCCAGCCCGCCUGGCGGACGCCAUUCCCAGGAGAUGACCAGGCCCUGGACAGCCGACACUUGGAAGACUGCCACGUCCUGCCUCCGCAGGAGCCGCAGCUCCCCGGGGCUGCAGGGAAGUGGUGGCUGGGCUGGGGGGGUGGGGGGUGAGCCCGCGGGGACUCCAGGCUCCAGGUGCCCACACCAUCCCGGGGGUGGGCAGUCAGGGCCAAGAACGCACAGUAAACCCCCAGCACACACAAGCGCACACACGCACAUGCUGACAGCACUCGCAUUUUUAAGAUGGGGAAAUAGAGGCUCAGAGGGGGCAUGCGCGUUCCUGCCCCUCAGGAUCACCAGCCUGCCCCCAGGAGAAAAGGGAAGGGAACAAGGCUGAUGGCUGGUUCCACCAACUGGGCGCCCGGGCUCAGGGUGAAUGUGGGGGGCUGUGACCCCUGAGACGUUGGAUCUGCCUCCCUGGUAUGGUUUGGAUGUUUGUCCUCUCCGAAUCUCUCACUGAAACGUGACUCCCAGUGUUAGAAGUGGGGCCUGGUGGGGGGUGUUUGGGUCAUGGGACAGACCCUCAUCAGUGGCUCUUUGCAGUAAUGACUGAGGUCUGGUUGUUGAAAAGAGCCUGGCACCUCCCUCCCCGACUUGCCCCCGUCUCGCCAUGUGAUGCGCCGGAUCCCCUUCCCCGUUUACCAUGCGUAAAAGCUUCCUGAGGCCUCACCAGAGGCACAUGCCGGUGCCAUGCUUCCUACACAGCCUGUAGAACACCAAGUCAAAUAAACGCCUUUUCUUUAUAAAUU